UACGAAGGGGGCUAGCGUUGUUCGGAAUUACUGGGCGUAAAGCGCGCGCAGGUGGUCUUUCAAGUCAGUGGUGAAAGCCCGGAGCUCAACUCCGGAAAUGCCAUUGAAACUGUGAGACUUGAGGAUGAGAGAGGUGAGUGGAAUUCCCAGUGUAGAGGUGAAAUUCGUAGAUAUUGGGAAGAACACCGGUGGCGAAGGCGGCUCACUGGCUCAUAUCUGACGCUCAGGCGCGACAGCGUGGGGAUCAAACAGG
rnacentral:rRNA from 1 species